ACACCUCAACUCUCAUGGUUUUGCCGUGACGAGCUUGGACUUUGGGGGACUUGCUGGCCCACGGUCAGCUCCUCUCAAAUGAAUCAGCUUACCAGUGUUCGGUGGCGUCAUGGGUGUGAUAACUAUCUACGCCUGUGGUCUCGCCCACCGUGUAACCUUCAGCGAUGGAGGUUCACUGGAGCUUAUAGACGUCUCUCCUCAGCGAAGACAGCCUUUUGAAC
rnacentral:misc_RNA from 1 species